UACGAAGGGUGCAAGCGUUACUCGGAAUUACUGGGCGUAAAGCGUGCGUAGGUGGUUCGUUAAGUCUGAUGUGAAAGCCCUGGGCUCAACCUGGGAAUGGCAUUGGAAACUGGCGACCUAGAGUGCGGUAGAGGGUAGUGGAAUUCCCGGUGUAGCAGUGAAAUGCGUAGAGAUCGGGAGGAACACCCGUGGCGAAGGCGACUACCUGGACCAGCACUGACACUGAGGUGCGAAAGCGUGGGGAGCAAACAGG
rnacentral:rRNA from 1 species